CACCGCGGUUAUACGAGAGACCCAAGUUGAUAGCUGAUGGCGUAAAGCGUGGUUAGGGGCACAGAGGAAUAAAGUCGAAGGCUCUCUAGGCUGUUUAACGCUAACCGAGAGUAUGAAGCUCGAUUACGAAAGUAGCUUUAUUACACCUGAUCCCACGAACGCUGAGAAA
rnacentral:rRNA from 1 species